rnacentral:rRNA from 1 species
AUUGAACGCUGGCGGCAGGCCUAACACAUGCAAGUCGAGCGGGGUUUUCGGACCUAGCGGCGGACGGGUGAGUAAUGCGUAGGAAGCUACCCGAUAGAGGGGGAUACCAGUUGGAAACGACUGUUAAUACCGCAUAAUGUCUACGGACCAAAGUGUGGGACCUUCGGGCCACAUGCUAUCGGAUGCGCCUACGUGGGAUUAGCUGGUUGGUGAGGUAAUGGCUCACAAAGGCGACGAUCUCUAGCUGGUUUGAGAGGAUGAUCAGCCACACGAGAACAGAGACACGGUCCAGACUCCUACGGGAGGCAGCAGUGGGGAAGAGUGGACAAUGGGCGAAAGCCUAAUCCAGCCAUGCCGCGUGUGUGAAGAAGGCCUUCGGGUUGUAAAGCACUUUCAGCGAGGAGGAAGGGUUGUGUGUUAAUAGUACACAGCUUUGACGUUACUCGCAGAAGAAGCACCGGCUAACUCUGUGCCAGCAGCCGCGGUAAAAC